rnacentral:rRNA from 1 species
UGGGGAAUAUUGCACAAUGGGGGAAACCCUGAUGCAGCGACGCCGCGUGAGUGAAGAAGUAUUUCGGUAUGUAAAGCUCUAUCAGCAGGGAAGAUAAUGACAGUACCUGACUAAGAAGCCCCGGCUAACUACGUGCCAGCAGCCGCGGUAAUACGUAGGGGGCAAGCGUUAUCCGGAUUUACUGGGUGUAAAGGGAGCGUAGACGGAGUGGCAAGUCUGAAGUGAAAACCCUGGGCUUAACCUAGGGACUGCUUUGGAAACUGUUAAUCUAGAGUGUUGGAGAGGUAAGUGGAAUUCCUGGUGUAGCGGUGAAAUGUGUAGAUAUCAGGAAGAACACCGGAGGCGAAGGCGGCUUACUGGACAAUAACUGACGUUGAGGCUCGAAAGCGUGGGGAUCAAACAGGAUUAGAUACCCUGGUAGUCCACGCUGUAAACGAUGAAUACUAGGUGUCGGGGUGCAAAGCAUCUCGGUGCCGUCGCAAACGCAAUAAGUAUUCCACCUGGGGAGUACGUUCGCAAGAAUG